rnacentral:rRNA from 1 species
AUUGAACGCUGGCGGCAGGCCUAACACAUGCAAGUCGAGCGAGCGGCGGACGGGUGAGUAAUGUAUGGGGACUGCCCGAUAUAGGUGGUUAACUACUGGAAACGGUAGCUCAUACCGCAUACUAUCGGAUAACCCAUAUGGGAUUAGCUAGUAGGUGAGGUAAUGGCUUACCUAGGCGACGAUCCCUAGCUGGUCUGAGAGGAUGAUCAGCCACACUGGAACUGAGACACGGCCCAGACUCCUACGGAGGCAGCAGUGGGGAAUAUUGAACAAUGGGCGCAAGCCUGAUGCAGCCAUGCCGCAUGUAUGAAGAAGGCCCUAGGGUUGUAAAGUACUUUCAGUCGGGAGGCGUUAAAGAAAGAAGAAGCACCGGCUAACUCCGUGCCAGCCGCCGCGGUAAUUC